rnacentral:rRNA from 1 species
GACGAACGCUGGCGGCGUGCUUAACACAUGCAAGUCGAACGGAAAGGCCCUGCUUUUGUGGGGUGCUCGAUUGGCGAACGGGUGAGUAACACGUGAGUAACCUGCCCUUGACUUUGGGAUAACUUCAGGAAACUGGGGCUAAUACCGGAUAGGAGCUCCGGGUGCAUGGUGGGGGUUUGAAAGUUUCGGCGGUGGGGGAUGGAGUCGCGGCUUAUCAGCUUGCUGGUGGGGUAGUGGCUUACCAAUGCUUUGACGGGUAGCCGGCGCGGGAGUGUGACCGGCAACAUUGGGACUGAGACACGGCCCCGGCUCCUACGGGGGGGAGCAGUAGGGAUGGUUACAAUAUGGGCGGAGGCGCGAUGCAGCUCCGCCGCGGGCGGGAUGAUGAUGAUGGGCUUGUAGUCCUCAUUCGCCUUUGCCGGAGCGUGAGUGACGGUAAUGGGUAGAGAAACACCGGGUUACCACGUG